rnacentral:rRNA from 1 species
UGAGGAAUAUUGGUCAAUGGACGAGAGUCUGAACCAGCCAAAUCGCGUGAAGGAAGACUGCCCUACGGGUUGUAAACUUCUUUUGUACAGGAAUAAAAGACAUUACGUGUAAUGUAUUGCAUGUACUGUACGAAUAAGCAUCGGCUAACUCCGUGCCAGCAGCCGCGGUAAUACGGAGGAUGCGAGCGUUAUCCGGAUUUAUUGGGUUUAAAGGGUGCGCAGGCGGGAUUUUAAGUCAGCGGUGAAAUUUUCAGGCUCAACCUGAACACUGCCGUUGAAACUGGGAUUCUUGAGUAUGGAUGAGGUAGGCGGAAUUCGUUGUGUAGCGGUGACAUGCUUAGAUAUAACGAGGAACUCCGAUUGCGUAGGCAGCUUACUAAGCCAUAACUGACGCUCAAGCACGAAAGCGUGGGGAUCAAACA